rnacentral:rRNA from 1 species
AGUGAACGCUGGCGGUAGGCCUAACACAUGCAAGUCGAACGGCAGCACAGUAAGAGCUUGCUCUUACGGGUGGCGAGUGGCGGACGGGUGAGGAAUACAUCGGAAUCUACUUUUUCGGGUGGGAUAACGUAGGGAAACUUACGAUAAUACCGCAUACGCCCUACGGGUGAAAGCAGGGGAUCUUCGGAGCUUGCGCGAUUGAAUGAGCCGAUGUCGGAUUGGCUAGUUGGGGGGGUAAAGGCCCACGAAGGCGACGAUAGGUAGCUGGUGUGAGUGGAUGGUCAGCCACCUGGGAAGUUGGCCACGGACCAGACGACUAAGGGACGCAGCAGUCGGGAAUAGUGGACAAUGGGGGCAAGCCUUGUACAGCCGUACCGCGUGGGUGGCGAAGGCGUCCGGGUUGUAAAGACGGUUUGUUGGGAAAGAAAAGCAGCAGGUUAAUACCCCGCUGUUCUGACGGUACCCAGAGAAUAAGCACCGGCUAACUACGUG